AUCGCUUCUGGCCUUUUGGCAUAAGAUCCAGAGUGUAGUAUCUGUUCUUAUCAGUUUUAUUAUCUGAUAUAUCCUCUAAGUGAGGAUAACUUAUUAAGCAGAUUUUAGCAUUGGGAGAUGGAAAAGGAGCUUGUUUAUUCACUCCAUGCAUUAACUCUUUAUGUGCAGUAUUGCUGGGAACUGGUGCAUUCCUU